AGAUGUGAGGGUCAUCUGGCUGAGACAUCUGUCACCCUAUUGAUGGCCAGGGUUGAUUCGGCUGAUCUGGCUGGCUAGGUGGGUGUUCCCUUUCUCACAGCUCCAUGUGCGUCUCUCCUGAGGCUGCUUGGUCAAAGAGGAUGACUUUCCCUGAUAGAGGAGGAUUAUUCUUCAGUCAAGUGUAUGUAAGUCUUUGUGCUCUCCUGCUAGGACCUCCCAAAAAGAUAUGUGUGUGUAAAUUAAUAUGUAUAUAUUUGAUUAUAUAUGUAUAAUU
rnacentral:snRNA from 1 species